rnacentral:lncRNA from 1 species
UAUCUUUAAUUCUCAACCUUAUUAUCUAUAAUCUUGAAAGUCUACAAAUUUGCCAUCUCAUGUGGACUAUACUUAAAUUUUUAUUCUAAUAUUUUCCCCAAAUUAAAUAAUAUCCUCUAAGUUAAUUUAAUGGCCUAUCUUUACUUCCGAAUCUUUGAGUUAGCAAAUCAAAUCUGUAAUUAAUAAAUUAGUGAUAAUAAUAUAUCUCAAAAUCCCAUUUCCUUAAAAUAUUUCCAAUCAAAUUCUACCCAUUCAAUUAUAUUGUCUACCUUAAUUAACCAACCAACCAAAAUUAAAAUCUCAACUUUAUUUGUUUCUUUAUUAAUAUAUUAUUACCUAUU